GCAGUGUUGGCUGAAUAGGUAAAGCGCCGGAUUGCUAAUCCGAGGUCAUCUUAACGGAUGCACAGGUUCGAGUCCUGUACACUGCG
rnacentral:tRNA from 2 species